rnacentral:lncRNA from 1 species
ACCUAAGAUAAUAAAAAUUACACAGAAACUUACGCCUAUGAAGAGACCUGUUUAUUACUGAUAACACUUCAUUUGGCUAAAACCACGCACACAAAUACUUAAAGUGCAAAUUCUCAGAGGGAGUAUUUAUGAUACACCCUGGUAGUCUGUAAGGAAAAAUGAGAAGAUGUUGACAGAAACUAUUGAAACAAGGGUACAAUUUUGAAUUACUGGUAUACAGACAAAUAAUUAAUUCUUAACUGCAUAUAUUUUAUCUGGCAUAUUCAAUGACGUAUACAAAGAGUUUGUUUCAGCCUAUAACACAAGGCCUCAUCACAUACAGGUGCAAAUCUUGUUUGGGUGGCUCUCUUCAGACAUAUGAUGAAUUAUACACUGGACAAAAAUUUAUCAAACGGUAUCCAAUUAGUUGUGACUCCCUUGGAAGGCAGCAUUAGUAGGCUUAUAACAGCACUAAUACUAGUGAUACUAAGUCUACACAGACACUUUCUUAACCUUCUUGGCCAACAUCUUGCUUUGAGUGUAAAAUAGUAGGCAUUACAUACAACUUCAAAAUAGGAAUAUGCUCUGCUCUUGCCAAAGAAACAGAGUAUUUAAGAGUGUGCACGCUUAAUAAACAUUACUUAGUAUACAUAUCAGUAUUGAGAACUGUUUUAAAAGCUGAAUCAGAAAAGUAAUGUUUCCGAUUGCCUAAACUAUUUGUUUCUUUAGAAUGAAAUUCCAUAAUUCCUAUUUUCACUAACUAAGUACUCUAUAACAUGUGGUGGGUGGUGUGGAUAUGAAAAAUAAUAAACCAUGAUCCCUGCUCUCAGGGAGCUGAGAGUCAGGUGCUCCUUCCUAGUCACGGGAUGCUAAUAAUUAAUGAGAAGAAACUGGUAAAUGCUUUGGAGUAUAUUAUAAGGUUCAGUGGUACUAAAACUAUUUCAGGUCACUUCAACUUGGCAUUAAUACCUUCAAAGGUCACCUUCUAAAGGGAACAUCUUAUAUACGUUCUAUGUAUAUUUGUCACACUAGAGUCAGUGUGUCCCCUCGGGGGUAUAUAGCAAUUGAGGCAGGGGAUGGGGGAGAAAACUGAGAGCCCACGUGAUAAACACAGUGCCUCUUUCUGGUGGCAUCAGUUUCCACGAAGAGCGAAGGUAUCAUUUUUCACUAAAACAGUUUUAUUACGGAGAAUGCAAAAAUCACAUUUUCAAGACAGAACACGAAAUUUUGAGUGCAGGCUGCUUCUGAUUUUGUUCUCAGGCCCCUUCCCCCAAAACAUUCCUGCUCCUCUGCUUUAGGAUUAUGCUGAUGGAAAAAUUCGAGAAGCAAACUUUAAAGAUACGCCACUUUGCCCUUACCGUGGUCACUUUCGUCAUUCUUCUGUGCUCUCUUUUUUAAGUACACAGUCUUGAAUUAGCAAAGAGAAGCUAUGUCUUAAUGAAUGUAAUAGUAUGGUGAAUAUUUUAAUGUCACCAACAGAAAACACUAACUUUGUUUCCAACCAGGAGUAAACUUAGGCUGUGUAAAGAGUCCAACAAUGAGAUAUUCCCUCCUUUCCACUUAGACUCCUCAUGGUUUAUGGUAAGAUGGUUUGAGGGACAAAUGUAAAAAAAAAAAUUUUUUUUCCUCAGAUCUUGGGCUUUGGAUGCCCAAAGUACAAGGAAACCUGAAAUAAAAUGCCAGAUCAAUUGACCAUUCAUUUUGGUUAGUAGGAGUCUUUCUUCAUCAGUUUCUAGAGCAAUCUCAGAAAACAAGUGAAUUGUAAAAGGCCAUAAUAAAUUAAUAUACAGUAGUAUCCAAGCAGACCAAAAAAGAUUAUGCAACAGAUUUAAAAUUACUUCUUACAAUAUCUUAAAUAUUCUCACAGUAAUAACAAAAUAACCAAAAGUCCAUAAACAAAAACAGCUUAGGAAUAAGCUUAAAGCAGUCUGAAUGAAUAUAGUUAAGAUUUCUCAUAAGUGAGGUAACAGGGCAACAGUUUUUUCACAGUAACAGAAUGUGGAAGGGCACCUAGGGAAGGAGGGAGGUAGAGAGAAAAAGGCAUAAAACAAAUUUAUCCAAGCAGAAUUUGGAGUUUUCAAGCAUCACAAACAUCAGUGGAAAACAUCUGAGAGAAACACCAAUAGCAGCAGUCUGUAGAACAAUUUCUCCAUUAAACUUCAGCUAGUAUCUUUGUUGCAUCAAUUCCAGAAGCAACUUGCUUAAGAAAUAGGAGGUCUAUUCCUUAUAUAGAUAUUCCAAACAUCCACUCUCUUAGAACCUUUCUGUCUGCUGAAGUUACAACAUCCAAGUAAUAAUAAUUUAUAUUCAAAACAAACUCCUCAAAUAUCCUAUACAUUCUUCAAGAUGAACGGAAUUAUGUUCAAGUCGCACUGAAUUUACAGGUUUAAUUAAGCAGGUCUUUAUACAGUGAAUAAAGACUGCACUCAUGCAUCUACUACUCAACAUAUACAAAAACUAUCUUGUGAGCUAAAUUCUUUCAGAUAUGGAGUGAAACUCAAAUGUUACUUUCAAUGCUCUUUAUGAUAUCAUCUUUGUUCCAACCUGAGAUUUCAAUGAAGGAACUUUAAAAAAGUGCUAAAUAGCUUUUUAGCAUAUGCCAUAAUUCUAAAAUGUUUAAUUGUAUUAAAAAAAAAUCCUUAUUCCCUUUUAUACUGUCCCUGCUGGAGACGGAGAACAGUCUGUUAUAUUACUUCUUAUUUUGAGUUCUUCAAUAAAAGAUUUAAAUAAUAACUCAAGAGUUACUAAACUAUCUCAACAACUUCCUCCCCUCCAGAGUUAAAUGAUCUUAAUCUUUUGUGCUUUUUCUUAUAGGUCUUAUUUUUCAAUCUAUAUUUCAUUCCUUUUUAUUUAUGCUAUAUCCUCCCCUCUCCAGUUCCCAUAUGAUCUGAAAACACAACAUCCUAACAGGAACUGAAUCCUAUGAGGGGUACUUUUUCUCACCACCUCAAAGGUCUCCCUGGCUGCUUCUUAGCAGUCACUAAUAAAAGGAGACAAAAGCAUCACUAUCUGCUCAUCAUAACAACAAGUCAACAACUUGCCCACAGCCAGUUCAUUUCCUACUUUUCGGGUGGUAAGUUUGCUCUUCACAUGAAGCAUUUUCCUUGCCACUUUACUGACUUUUCUAUUGUUUAUUUCUACUGUUUAUUUCUAGUGCUUUAAGCUUGCCUGAUUAAUUCUUUUCUUUUCCUCAAAGCUCUAGAAAAUAUCAGUUUUGAUCUACACACUUAAUGAGAAGGCAUUCAUUUCCAUGAUACUGUACAUAAAGAAAAAGAUAAUGUAGAUCCUAAGGCUGGGUCCUACUGGCCAGUACUUCUAUUUUUCUUGGUUGUCUUGUGCUACUGAAUUUAUUUUGUUAGACAAGUGUACACCCACUAUGUCAAGCUCUUGUUAAAUAUCAUGCUCAAGAGCUUGGCUAGAAUCAAAUAAUUCCCUCAAUCUAUACUCUUUGAGAACAUUUGUAACAUUUUAACUUUGGAUAUUUAAAUUUUUGACAUAAGAAUCCAAGCCUUAAUGACUUUUCACCUUGAUUAAGAUGACUCCUGUUGCAUUAUAUUGUUGCAUUCAAAACUGUUCUCUUUAUAAUAGAAUGACAAGCAUGGCUUUAGUGAUUAUGAAUGAGCUGUUGUAUCAUUUUAGCUCCACUUUGUUCUUCAGUCACUGAAACACAGAUACUAAAACAGAAC